rnacentral:rRNA from 1 species
AGCAUAUCAAUAAGCGGAGGAAAAGAAACUAACAAGGAUUCCCCUAGUAACUGCGAGUGAAGCGGGAAAAGCUCAAAUUUAAAAUCUGGCGGUCUUCGGCCGUCCGAGUUGUAGUCUGGAGAAGUGCUUUCCGCGCUGGACCGUGUACAAGUCUCUUGGAACAGAGCGUCAUAGAGGGUGAGAAUCCCGUCUUUGACACGGACUACCAGUGCUCUGUGAUGCGCUCUCAAAGAGUCGAGUUGUUUGGGAAUGCAGCUCAAAAUGGGUGGUAAAUUCCAUCUAAAGCUAAAUAUUGGCGAGAGACCGAUAGCGAACAAGUACCGUGAGGGAAAGAUGAAAAGCACUUUGGAAAGAGAGUUAAACAGUACGUGAAAUUGCUGAAAGGGAAACGAUUGAAGUCAGUCGCGUUAGCCAGGACUCAGCCUUGUUUUUACUUGGUGCAUUUUCUGGUUGACGGGCCAGCAUCGAUUUUGAUCGCCGGAAAAAGGUUGGGGGAAUGUGGCACCUUCGGGUGUGUUAUAGCCCUCAAUCACAUACGGUGAUUGGGAUCGAGGACCGCAGCACGCCUUUAUGGCCGGGGUUCGCCCACGUUCGUGCUUAGGAUGCUGGCGUAAUGGCUUUAAACGACCCGUCUUGAAACACGGACCAAGGAGUCUAACAUGCCUGCGAGUGUUUGGGUGGAAAACCCGAGCGCGUAAUGAAAGUGAAAGUUGAGAUCCCUGUCGCGGGGAGCAUCGACGCCCGGACUUGAACUUCGGUGAUAGAUCUGCGGUAGAGCAUGUAUGUUGGGACCCGAAAGAUGGUGAACUAUGCCUGAAUAGGGUGAAGCCAGAGGAAACUCUGGUGGAGGCUCGUAGCGAUUCUGACGUGCAAAUCGAUCGUCAAAUUUGGGUAUAGGGGCGAAAGACUAAUCGAACCAUCUAGUAGCUGGUUCCUGCC